rnacentral:rRNA from 2 species
UAGCAGAGAUGCUUUAGUGCCUUCGGGAACCGUGAGACAGGUGCUGCAUGGCUGUCGUCAGCUCGUGUUGUGAAAUGUUGGGUUAAGUCCCGCAACGAGCGCAACCCUUAUCCUUUGUUGCCAGCGGUCCGGCCGGGAACUCAAAGGAGACUGCCAGUGAUAAACUGGAGGAAGGUGGGGAUGACGUCAAGUCAUCAUGGCCCUUACGAGUAGGGCUACACACGUGCUACAAUGGCGUAUACAAAGAGAAGCGACCUCGCGAGAGCAAGCGGACCUCAUAAAGUACGUCGUAGUCCGGAUUGGAGUCUGCAACUCGACUCCAUGAAGUCGGAAUCGCUAGUAAUCGUAGAUCAGAAUGCUACGGUGAAUACGUUCCCGGG